CUUUCGUGGUUUCUAUAUGAUUAUGGUGUCUUCCAGAUCCAAGCUAUCUGAGUCCAAGCUGAACGUGUCCGCAAUCUGCUGUUAUAAGGACAUCACAGAAGGGAUAAGGCAGUGGAUGUUUGCCUGAUUGAGUACACAAAUGAUACACCAGAGGGCGUGUCCAGCAGAUUUAUGGGCUUUGUGUUUGAAUCCCAAGCAUUAGGUAGAAGAGUGAUAGAACUUGAUUACUUGACGUGUGUGUGUGUGUGUGUGUGUGUGUGUGUGUGUGUGUGUGUGUGUGUGUGUGUGUGUGUGUGUGUGUGUGUGUGUGUGUGUGUGUGUGUGUGUGUGUGUGUGAAAAGGGAGGGAGAUAGAGAACUAAAGUGUGUGUGUGUGUGUUUGUGAGUGUGUGCGUGCGUGCGUGUUUGUGCGUGUGCCUAAUUGCAUGGGGGUGGACUGAAAGUUACAUGCCUCUUGACUUGAUAAACUCGUGACUCAAUCUCAAAUGCGAGUGUAUGCACAUGGAUAUAUUUUUUGCUUGCUCGAGUCUUGGUCAUUGCUGUUCAAUUGCUGUAUUUUUUAUGACCGUGUCCAGAUGGAACUGCCCUUCACCGGUUUUGAACUGUCCUUCCUCCUUAUUGCGUUCAUCGUCUUCUCCCUCCUAAGCUUAGCGUCCAUCUACUACGAGGCAGACGCGAGCAGAGCAGGCCGACAUGCCUGUGAACCC